rnacentral:pre_miRNA from 1 species
AAAAAGGCAAACCUUGGGUUUCCGUGUCCAACUUUGACUGUCCGUCUUAUAUGAAAUUUUUUUAUAAUUCGUAUUUUCAUUGUUGUUAGAUGAUAAAACAUGAUUAAUAUUUUAUGCGUGACUUGUCUUUUUAAUUUUUUUAUAUUUUUUUCAAAAAUAAGACGGACGGUCAAAUAUUGGGCACGGAAACCAGGGUUUGUCUUUUU